rnacentral:rRNA from 1 species
CUACGGGGUGCUGCAGUAAGGAAUAUUGGUCAAUGGGCGAAAGCCUGAACCAGCCAUCCCGCGUGCAGGAUGAAGGUCCUAUGGAUUGUAAACUGCUUUUAUCAGGGAAGAAACGCCUUCAUUCAUGGGGGUCUGACGGUACCUGAGGAAUAAGCACCGGCUAACUCCGUGCCAGCAGCCGCGGUAAUACGGAGGGUGCGAGCGUUAUCCGGAAACACUGGGGUUAAAGGGUGCGUAGGCGGGGAAUUAAGUCAGUGGUGAAAGCCUGUCGCUUAACGAUAGAAUUGCCAUUGAUACUGAUUUUCUUGAAUUGGGUUGAGGUUAGCGGAAUGUGACAUGUAGCGGUGAAAUGCAUAGAUAUGUCAUGGAACACCAAUUGCGAAGGCAGCUAGCUGGGCCUUGAUUGACGCUGAGGCACGAAAGCGUGGGUAGCGAACAGGAUUAGAUACCCCUGUAGUC